rnacentral:rRNA from 1 species
GUUUAGUAAGUCAGUGGUGAAAGCCCAUCGCUCAACGGUGGAACGGCCAUUGAUACUGCUAGACUUGAAUUAUUAGGAAGUAACUAGAAUAUGUAGUGUAGCGGUGAAAUGCUUAGAGAUUACAUGGAAUACCAAUUGCGAAGGCAGGUUACUACUAAUUGAUUGACGCUGAUGGACGAAAGCGUGGGUAGCGAACAGGAUUAGAUACCCUGGUAGUCCACGCCGUAAACGAUGGAUACUAGCUGUUGGGUGCAAACUCAGUGGCUAAGCGAAAGUGAUAAGUAUCCCACCUGGGGAGUACGUUCGCAAGAAUGAAACUCAAAGGAAUUGACGGGGGCCCGCACAAGCGGUGGAGCAUGUGGUUUAAUUCGAUGAUACGCGAGGAACCUUACCAAGGCUUAAAUGUAGAUUGACCGGUUUGGAAACAGACUUUUCGCAAGACAAUUUACAAGGUGCUGCAUGGUUGUCGUCAGCUCGUGCCGUGAGGUGUCAGGUUAAGUCCUAUAACGAGCGCAACCCCUGUUGUUAGUUGCCAGCGAGUCAAGUCGGGAACUCUAACAAGACUGCCAGUGUAAACUGUGAGGAAGGUGGGGAUGACGUCAAAUCAUCACGGCCCUUACGCCUUGGGCUACACACGUGCUACAAUGGCCGGUACAGAGAGCAGCCACUGGGCGACCAGGAGCGAAUCUAUAAAACCGGUCACAGUUCGGAUCGGAGUCUGCAACUCGACUCCGUGAGGCUGGA